rnacentral:rRNA from 1 species
AGUGAACGCUGGCGGUAGGCCUAACACAUGCAAGUCGAACGGCAGCACAGUAAGAGCUUGCUCUUACGGGUGGCGAGUGGCGGACGGGUGAGGAAUACAUCGGCAUCUACUUUUUCGUGGGGGAUAACGUAGGGAAACUUACGCUAAUACCGCAUACGACCUACGGGUGAAAGCAGGGGAUCUUCGGACCUUGCGCGAUUGAAUGAGCCGAUGUCGGAUUAGCUAGUUGGCGGGGUAAAGGCCCACCACGGCGACGAUCCGUAGCUGGUCUGAGAGGAUGAUCAGCCACACUGGAACUGAGACACGGUCCAGACUCCUACGGGAGGCAGCAGUGGGGAAUAUUGGACAAUGGGCGCAAGCCUGAUCCAGCCAUACCGCGUGGGUGAAGAAGGCCUUCGGGUUGUAAAGCCCUUUUGUUGGGAAAGAAAAGCAGCAGGUUAAUACCCCGCUGUUCUGACGGUACCCAAAGAAUAAGCACCGGCUAACUUCGUG